UAUAAUUUAAUAUUGUUAUGAAAUGUUUGUUUAUGUGUAUUAUUUUAGUUUAUCUUAUAGUCAAUUUUUCUUUGAUUUGUAUGUAUAUUAUAGAACAACAUGAACAGGCGUUAGAACCAGAAUUAGAACAUGCCUAGGAGGGACCUAUCUUUCGAGUCUGAAUCAACUUCACAGGAGCCACAACCUUCCACAUCACGUGAUAUAUCAUGCAGAGAAGAAACUGUCAGUGUACGAGGAUUACUGGAGACAAUGCAGGAUUCUUCAAUAACAUUAUUUGAUGAUGAAAUGUAAAUAAAUUUGGAACCACUUGUGGAGGACACUGAUGAUGAGGAUGAAACACAAGUAGAG